UACGUAGGGUGCAAGCGUUAUCCGGAUUCACUGGGCUUAAAGGGUGCGUAGGCGGGCAAGUAAGUCAGUGGUGAAAUCUCCGGGCUUAACCCGGAAACUGCCAUUGAUACUAUUUGUCUUGAAUACUGUGGAGGUCAGCGGAAUAUGUCAUGUAGCGGUGAAAUGCUUAGAUAUGACGUAGAACACCAAUUGCGAAGGCAGCUGGCUGCACAAAUAUUGACACUGAGGCACGAAAGCGUGGGGAUCAAACAGG
rnacentral:rRNA from 1 species